CACACACACACACACACACACACACGAGGAGUGCAGGGGGGAGCUUUGCCCCCCCCCCCUCUUCCGCCCUAUCCCGUCGGUAGGGGUGCCCUGAAAAGUCGUAACCCACGUGGUAAGUCCGUUUGGUCUGUGUCCAUUUGUUACUGUGUCCGUUUCACUCAGCCUGCUGUGUCCGUUUAUUACUGUGCGCAUCUGGGACGCUCCCGCGUGAAGCGCAUGAGGUAAGACUGGCAGUGAGACUGACACGUGAACGGCUUUGAUGUUUGGCCGAGUUUUUCGAGAAUUUUCCUCUUUUACUAGCGUAUACACAUUUACAUAUACAUCUACUGUUCACUGUUGUCUACAACAGUAACAAUACUAGCUUGUGUGUAGUGUGUAUAUCGUAUAAUCGGUAAAUCUUUAACAGUUGACACUGUACGUUCUAGUAAUAAAGUUUUUUAUGAAGAUAAACUCUGAUGUGUGUUCUACGCGGAGUUCGAAACAACGAAUAAGUUUUUGUUUUAUUGUUUUUUAAUUAAUUAUAUUUGACUAUUAUUAAUAGUAAAGAAAAUUACUAAUCAAUAUUUCACAACCAUUAACGUAAAAUUCUUGAUAUAAAUGAAUGAAUUUAUUUUUAUGAUUUGUUGUUUCAUUUUUCAUAAAAUUAAUAUUUAAAAUAGUUGGAGAAAUGAGGUUAAUAGGAAUUCGCCGCGGUAAUUAAUGCGCUGUGAUUAUGGUUUGAGCUCUAGUUUAUUGCUUUAACUUAUCUCCAAACGUUUCAGCUAUGGAUUUAGCCAUCUUCAGUGUGUAUAUUAUUAAUAAAAGAAUUGUACAUAUAUACUUAUAACUUCGUCUUUGUCCUGUAGUAAGUAACUAAUGGGAUAUGAUUCCAAACAAGUUGAAUGACCAUAUUGAGAAAAACCACUAUGUCUCACCUAUUAAUUAAGUUUAUGACGUACAGGGUCAGUAUUAAUUUUGUUAUAACAUUAAAUUUAGUUAAUUAUAACAUUAAAUUUAGUUAUAAAAGUUAUUUAUAACAUUAAAAUUAGUUAUAAAAUUAAUCUUACCACAGGACAAUGAUCGGAUGCUAGUGUUACAAUUAAUAUGAUUUUUGUGUUUGUUGAUUCGAGUCUUUAAUUAUCUAGCCAUUUGACCAACAUAGGAUGCAUCACAAUUCUUGCAAUUAAUUAAAAUACUGCUAAAAUACUGGGACAACAAAAAACAUACGUUACUUACAGAUGUCUCAGAUAAAAACACUUUUACGUAAUAACUCGAAUAAAACAACUAUUUGUUUAAAGUCAACUGAACUUGAAAACAAAGUAAACAACUUAUUAUUAACAACAAUUAAAGAAAGAUGGUUUAUUAACUUAUCAACAAAAGUAAUUCCAGAUGAAAUUAUAAACUUUUCACAAUUAGGAGAUAAUUUUGAAUUACCAUGCUACAAUGAAAAUACUGAUUUUAUAAAAAACAGAAAACAAUUUAAAGGAGCUAAAGACAAAACAACAUUACAAGUAGAUUCAUCAUACUUAUUAAGAAAGCUACCAAACUGACUAACUACCAAUCAAACUAAUAAACUAGUUAAUAUUUUACAUUAAAAAACGGGACAGUUUUUAAACAACAGUUCUAACAUUAUUAUAAUGAGAACAGACAAAAAGAACAUCACUGUAGAGUUAGACAAAGACACAUACAAAUCCAAAAUUAAUAACAUGCUUAAUAACAAAGAAACAUACUCGCAAAGACAUAAAGAUUUAACUAAAUCUAAAACAAUGACAAAAAAGUGAGAAAACUCCUUGGUAGAUGGAAGGAUGUGGGAUACAUCACAGAAAAUAAGCAGAGAAAAUUAUAUAACAGUGAUGGUAGUCUCCCAAAAGCCUGUGGACUUCCAAAGGUUCACAAAGAGAAUUGCCCUUUUAGAAUAAUAGUUUCAUGCAUAGACAGUCCUACAUAUCUCUUGGCUACAUUUUUCCACGAGUUAAUUUCUGGGAAUAUUUCUAAGGCAAAAAGCCACAUUGGCAACAGUUUUGAAUUGGUCAAUAGUCUUAACAAUAAAGUAAUUGAGAAAGAAAUGUUUCUUAUAUCACUAGACGUAGUUUUAUUAUUUAUGAAUAUUCUGAUAGAUUUAGCCAUUAGAAGUAUAUAUUAAAUAGAUGGGAACAUAAAGAAAGAUCGUGACCUUCCGGAUGAUGAAUUUUUGAAUGCCAUCAGAUUUGUUCUUUGGUCCAUUUUUUCAUAUUUGAUUUAUAAGCAAAUUUAUAAGCAGUUUUUUAGAAUUGCUAUGGGCUCCCCACUUUCUCCGAGCUGACAUUGUGAUGCAGGAUUUGGAGAAUGGAGUGACCACGUUAGGUUUUAAAGUUCUGGUAUAUUACAAAUAUGUUGAUGACAUAAUCACAGUAUUACCUAUUUAGAGAUUGAUAACAUUCUUAAAAAGUUUAACUCAAUCCACCCCGCGUUACAAUUUACAAUGGAAAAAAGUAGAAACGAAAUUAAUUUUCUUGACGUUACUGUUAUUAAAAGCAACAACAGACUAAUCUUUGAUUGAUAUAAAAAAUCAACAUUUUUGGGCAGAUUUUAAAUUUCUUUUUUACUCAUUCCAUUCCCUCCUCCCCCCAAAAGGUAUGAUAAUGUGUUUGGUUGAUAGGAUGUUUUUUUUGUCGCAAUUUUAUCAGAAUUUUACCAGAAAAAUUUUGAAUUAAUUAUUAAAAAUUUGGAAGAUAACAAUUAUCUAAUCAAGUUCAUUUUUAAUAUAAUUUAAAAAAGAAUAAAAAAUUUAAUAGAAAACACAUUGAAACAAACAAAAUCCCAAUCUUAGCAAGAUUCACAUUUAGACGAAAAAACAAAAUGGUUUACAGUUCCUUUCAGUCAGAAACAUAUCGGAAAAGUUUAGAAAAAUGUUAAAGAAUACUAAUGGAAAAAUGGGUUUCUUUACUAACAAGCUGAACAAAAUUAAAGUUUAUAAAGACCCACUACUGAUUUUAACACAAAAAAUGUGCAUAAAAUUAAUUGCAAAAAUUGUGGUGCAUCUUAUGUUGAUCAAACAGGUAGACAAUUAAAGACUCGAAUCAGCAAAAACAAAAAUCAUAUUAAUCGUAAUACUAACACACAAUCUGUUAUCACUGAACAUAAGAUGAAUUACAAUCAUGAAUUUGAAUGGAAAGACGUAAAAAUUUGGAUGUGGAAAGAAACAUUAAUAAAAGAUUAAUAUCUGAAAUGGUUUAUAUUAAAAGUUUAAAUAACAAACUCUAUUACCAAAUGGAUACAGAAUACUUAGACCGCACUUACAAUGAAAUAAUUAAUAAGACGAAUUCUCAACACAAACAGAAUACUUGAAAAAGACUCCAUUCAUGUAAACAGCACAUAACAGACAGUAGGAUAGGACGUUAUCAGUUUACCGUUAGAUACACAUUGAAUAACUUCAAAAACAAUGCAGCACUGACCGGAGCUAAAUUGCUAGGAAGUUUAUCGUUUUAAUCAAAAAUAACAAAAAUAAUUAUAGUAUAUUAAAGGAACCUUUUACAUAAGACUUAUAAGAUUGUAAUCUUGACAAUACUUAUAUAAUUUGUGAAUGUGACUUGUGUAUGAAUGUAUCAAUACUGGCAAUGUUUUUUAUUAAGCGUGACACAUUAAAAUGACAGUGCUAAUAACCGUCGUAAAAAAAACGAUUGGUUGUCCUGUGACAUUCAACUUGUUUGGAAUCAUAUCUCAUUAGUUACUUACCACAGGACAAAGAUGAAGUUAUAAGUAUGUAUGUACAAUUCUUUUAUUAAUAAUGUACACAUUAAGGAUGGCUAAAAUCCAUAGCCGAAACGUUUGGAGAUGAAUUAAAAGUAGCACAAGAAGAAUCAGAAAAACUUGAUAUAUCACAACUUGGGUGUCCAACUCAAAAUGACAGUACACAAUACAACACCAAGAAAACGGGCUCGUGUAGCAACAGUUUGUUCAAAAUCUGUAUUCUUCAGAAAAGAACGUGCUGAAGUAAUUACAAGAGCCUUAACAAAGUUAGUUGCAUCUUGCAGAUUAUCGUAUGAUUUUAUAUCUAGUUCUGCAUUUAGAAAAUUUAUGAAAGAACUGGAACCAAACUAUGAUUGUUCUUGUAGUCUAACGAUAUUUUGCCGCCUUCGUAUGUUUGAGAGUGAAAUAAAAACCAAAAUUGAAGUACAACUAACUGAAAGGCAGUAUGUUACUCUCGACACAGAUUGCUGGACUUCUAGAGCUCAAGAAGAUUACAAAUUUCAAUGCACAUUUUAUUGAUAAAGACUAGAUACCGCAUAUUAUUAAUCUCUGUACUAAAGUGCUUGAAGAACGUCAUACAAUUGAAAAUUUUGCAGACAGUUUAUGAAAUGUUAUUUCGCAAUAUGUUGUUGAAGAUAUAAUAAUUGCUGUAGUAAAAAUGUUAAUGCGAGAAAUAUUGUAUUAGCUAUAAACCUUAUACUACACGUUCAGGUCAAAGUUAUUUGUGCUGGUCAUAUAAUUUAUUUGGCAGUACAAAACGCCCUUAAUCAAGUAGAUGUAUAUAAUUUGUUAACAAAAGCCAGUAAGGUUGUCUCAUUUUCGACAUUUUGCUCUUGCUUCGAAAAAUAUUAUUGCUAUUUAAAAAAAAUUAGUUUUUUACAAAAAAAAAUUUUUUAAUUGAACUUAUAUCGAAAUAGUUUAAGCAUAAUCUUAAGAAGUGUAAAUUUCGCGCCCAUGGACUCUAAACUUUAAAAUACAUGUCCGACUAUUUAAAAAUUAAAGAUGACGGCAUCCAAAAUGGCAGUUUAUAACUGGAAAAUUUAGGCCGGUAUUCAUAGUCAAAUCUUAUUUCAAGAUCGUCUCAAGGAAUGUCUUAAGAUGCUAAUACGGCUCUGUGAUUGGUUGAUGGCAUCUUAAGACAGUAUUUAAGAUGAUCUUAAAUAUAAGACCCGACUAUGAAUACCGGUUUUUAGAAUACUGUUCAAUUUCAACAGAAACAAAGAAAGAAAUGAUCGAAAAUAGAUCUGUAGUGAUCAAAAUUAAUUCAAGGGUUUUUGAAGUCGCUGAUUGCAAAUUCGAUGUCAAAAUUACAAAAUUAAAAAUGGCGGAUUCAAAAUGGCGGAUCGCAUUCGCAGAUUUUUUAAUAAAAUUGACUUGUAAUUGGGACCAUGGGGUUUUGAGGAUUGUUGAUUACAAAUCUGAUGUUAAAAUUGCAAAACUCAAAAUGGCGGAUCUAAGAUGGCUGAUUGAAUUUGGAACAUUUUUAUACAACAGGUUUUUAAUGUUCUAUAGGAUUUAGUCUUAAUCAUUUAGUGAAAUAUGAUACUAUAAAGAACUUAUUGUUAGUAAUUUUUAUAAUGUAUUUUUUUAUUUAUUUUGAUAUUAACUCGCUUAACCUAAAAAAUAUUGUGAAAUUGGAAAUAAGACAAAGCUCAAAUUAUAGAAGCAAA